rnacentral:rRNA from 1 species
GAUGAACGCUGGCGGCGUGCCUAAUACAUGCAAGUCGAGCGAACAGACGAGGAGCUUGCUCCUCUGACGUUAGCGGCGGACGGGUGAGUAACACGUGGAUAACCUACCUAUAAGACUGGGAUAACUUCGGGAAACCGGAGCUAAUACCGGAUAAUAUAUUGAACCGCAUGGUUCAAUAGUGAAAGACGGUUUUGCUGUCACUUAUAGAUGGAUCCGCGCCGCAUUAGCUAGUUGGUAAGGUAACGGCUUACCAAGGCGACGCUGCGUAGCCGACCUGAGAGGGUGAUCGGCCACACUGGAACUGAGACACGGUCCAGACUCCUACGGGAGGCAGCAGUAGGGUAUCUUCCGCAAUGGGCGAAAGCCUGACGGAGCAACGCCGCGUGAGUGAUGAAGGUCUUCGGAUCGUAAAACUCUGUUAUUAGGGAAGAACAAAUGUGUAAGUAACUAUGCACGUCUUGACGGUACCUAAUCAGAAAGCCACGGCUAACUACGUG